GAUGAACGCUGGCGGCGUGCUUAACACAUGCAAGUCGAACGGAAAGGCCACAGCUUGCUGUGGUACUCGAGUGGCGAACGGGUGAGUAACACGUGGGUGAUCUGCCCUGUACUUCGGGAUAAGCUUGGAAACUGGGUCUAAUACCGGAUAGGAAUCACAUGUGGGUGUGUGGUUGGAAAGCUUUUGCGGUAUGGGAUGAGCUCGCGGCCUAUCAGCUUGUUGGUGGGGUAAUGGCCUACAAAGGCGCCGACGGGUAGCCGGCCUGAGAGGGUGUAAGGCCACAUUGGGACUGAGAUACGGCCCAGACUCCUACGGGCGGCAGCAGUGGGGAAUAUUGCACAAUGGGCGCAAGCCUGAUGCAGCGACGCCGCGUGGGGGAUGACGGCCUUCGGGUUGUAACCUCCUUUCGUCAGGGACGAAGCGAAAGUGACGGUACCUGGAUAAGAAGCACCGGCUACCUACGU
rnacentral:rRNA from 1 species